rnacentral:rRNA from 1 species
AAACGCUUGAAGUCAGUCGCGUCGGCUAGGAAUCAACCUUGCUUUUGCUGGGUGUACUUUCUAGUUGACGGGUCAGCAUCAGUUUUGACCAGCGGAAAAAGGUGUAGGAAAUGUGGCUCCUUUGGGAGUGUUAUAGUCUUGCAUUGUAUACGCUGGUUGGGACUGAGGAACUCAGCACGCCGCAAGGCCGGGGUUCGCCCACGUUCGUGCUUAGGAUGCUGGCAAAAUGGCUUUAAUCGA